GCCCCCGUAGCUCAGCAGGAUAGAGCAGCCGCCUCCUAAGCGGCAGGUCGUGCGUUCGAAUCGCGCCGGGGGCGCCA
rnacentral:tRNA from 1 species